GGCAUGAUGGCCUGUACCCGAAACCGACACAGGUAGGAUGGUAGAGAAUACCGAGGGGCGCGAGGUAACUCUCUCUAAGGAACUCGGCAAAAUGGCCCCGUAACUUCGGGAGAAGGGGUGCCACCGCAAGGUGGUCGCAGUGAAGAGGCCCAGGCGACUGUUUACCAAAAACACAGGUCUCCGCUAAGUCGCAAGACGAUGUAUGGGGGCUGACGCCUGCCCAGUGCCGGAAGGUUAAGGAAGCUGGUCAGCGCAAGCGAAGCUGGCGACUGAAGCCCCGGUGAACGGCGGCCGUAACAAUAACGGUCCUAAGGUAGCGAAAUUCCUUGUCGGGUAAGUUCCGACCCGCACGAAAGGCGUAACGAUCUGGGCGCUGUCUCGGAGAGAGGCUCGGCGAAAUAGAAUUGUCUGUGUAGAUGCGGACUACGUGCACCCGGACAGAAAGACCCUAUGAAGCUUUACUGUAGCUUGGUAUUGUGCUCGGGCUCUGAAUGCGCAGGAUAGGUGGGAGGCUUUGAUCAACAGCUUGCGGGUUGUUGUGAGCCAACGGUGAGAUACCACUCUUUCAGAGCUAGGGUUCUAACGGUCACCCGUUAUCCGGGGACCGGACAGUAUCAGGUGGGCAGUUUGACUGGGGCGGUCGCCUCCUAAAAGGUAACGGAGGCGCGCAAAGGUUUGCUCAGGCUGGUUGGAAAUCAGCCGACGAGUGUAAAAGCAGAAGCAAGCUUGACUGUGAGACCUACAAGUCGAACAGGGACGAAAGUCGGCUUUAGUGAUCCGACGGUUCUGAGUGGAAGGGCCGUCGCUCAACGGAUAAAAGUUACUCUAGGAUAACAGGCUGAUCUCCCCCAAGAGUUCACAUCGACGGGGAGGUUUGGCACCUCGAUGUCGGCUCAUCGCAACCUGGGGCUGAAGUCGGUCCCAAGGGUUGGGCUGUUCGCCCAUUAAAGCGGUACGCGAGCUGGGUUCAGAACGUCGUGAGACAGUUCGGUCCAUAUCCGGUGCAUGCGCAGGAAUAUUGAGAGGAGUUCUCCCUAGUACGAGAGGACCGGGAGGAACGCACCUCUGGUGUACCAGUUAUCGUGCCAACGGUAAACGCUGGGUAGCCAUGUGCGGAGAGGAUAACCGCUGAAAGCAUCUAAGUGGGAAGCCCACCUCAAGAUGAGUAUUCCCAUGGCAUAAGCCAGUAAGGUCACGGGAAGAACACCCGUUGAUAGGCUCUACGUGGAAGCGCAGUAAUGCGUGAAGCGGAGGAGUACUAAUAGACCGAGGGCUUGAC
rnacentral:rRNA from 1 species